UGCAGUACAGUGCAUGCAGUUCAGCGAGCUAGAUUGUACGUGCAUAUUUUAAGCUUUAGAAUAUACGAAGAAGGUAUCUCUCGCGAUUAGAGGAUCAAGAAGUCGCCUUAUUUUCAACAUUUCUGUGAAGGUUAUUGGAAAGAAAUAAUUGUGACUAAAACAUAAGAAACAGGUGUUGUAUCACUUUUUCCUGCCAAGAUGGGCCUAACAUAAAGCACUGGUAAGUACAUCUACAUGUACUUGUUUCUUCUCAUUAAUCUUCCUUUUAAACUUAAAGUUCAUGAUACAGGGUGCUGGUGAGAUCCUACGUGUACAUGUACACUGUACAUGUAUGAUUUUUAUGACUUGUAGUGUUGUAGUUAGGAAAAGCAGGAUGCUAUUUUAGUACCUUAAAACUACAUGUACAUGUACAGUAUGUGUACCUGUACAUGUAUUCUAUGACAGUAUGUAUGAUUAAGAAAAAAUGUCUGUCAAUGUAAUGUACAGUGUUGCUUUUUGUGUGGAGAGCCUGAGUGGAGAGGUAAAAUAUGUUGUGAAUUUGUAGGCUAUUAAUUUGGAUACACUUUUAGUGUACAUUUACAUGUACAUGCACUUGUGUAGCUUUUAUACAGUUGUUUUUUGGGGUCAUUUAAGUUUUUGAUUGUUAAGAGAUUUAGAUCUUAUUAAACUGUAAUAGCAAAUUUAGCAUUGAGUUAACAUUUUUACAUUAGACGUCUAUUGAAUGAGUUGAGGUCAAUCAGCAAGAUUAGAAAAAGUGAUCAUUUCCUUUAAAAAGUUAUAGACUUUCAUAUGUAGAUAAUUUUACAAUUUAAAAAGCUGUUAAAAAACAAAUGAUUUUCAACAAACUUUGGAAGAAACAUGAUGGCAUGUAUUAAAGUGCAUUGAACUGAAGUACCCACAAGAUUAUGAUUAUAACUAUCAUAAAUGUUCACAUACUGUACUACUUCUGGUACAUGACACACAGUCACCCCAUUUGCACCGGGUCUAAAGCUCACUGGAAGGUACAUGUAAAAUUCUGAAACCAAUUUAUCCCAUAUGUUACAAGUUAGGCAUACAUGUAAAUACCCCCCAAAUAUGAGGUGCCACAUGAGUCAAGUAAUGCAAUUUGACGUGGCAUUUGAUGUCUCUUUUGAUGUCUAUUCUGCGCUCAUCUGGGUGAGAUCAGCUUUACAUAAGUUUAAUGUUACUGUCCAGAGCAAAAAAGCUUUUGUAAAUUUACAGAAGAAGGGCGUAGGACCUUUAUUGCAUUCAGCAUCUUUUUGCAUUCUCACUUGCAAUUCAUUUACUACAUGUACAUAAAAACUCCACCGUGAUUUACCAUUCCAUAUACAGUACAUGUACAACUAGUCUUUAUAAGUCAACGUUUACAUUUUGAAAAUGAAUAUGACAAUGUUUCAAAAGUUUUGUGGCACUGUAAGGGUUAAGGACCUGAAUGCUGAGAGGGAGGAGAAUAAAAUCUAUUACAUUUGAAAUGGAUGGAUGCCAAUCUGAUACAAGUUUGCAAAUUGAUCUGGGCGCUGCCUCAAAUUGAAGCCUACUUCAUGGGGAAUUCAAUUUAUAUCAGCUACCUGGAGCGUACUUGUAGCUUAUUUGCUAGAAAUGUGGGUGUAUACUGGGUGUCAAAGAAAAAAAAGAAGGAAUAAUACAGUUGUUGAUGGAUAUGAAAGGUCGUUGUAAGAUUCAUUGAAUUUCAAUUUAAUUUUUUAUGAAUACUGCAGGGAAAUCAGAAUAUUUUUCACAUUUAAAAUUUUCUGAUCAGCAUCAACUCUUGUAAAUGCAGUUGCAUGAAGCUGUUGUGAAACAAAAGUGAAAUUCACAAAAGUUUCAUGAGGCAUGUUUACACCAAGUUGUCCUUGCAUUGUACAUGUACAGUACAUGGGAUAACAAUAAUCACAUCAUCAAACCAUUUUUCUUCUUUAAGCAUGUUCGACACUCAUGAUCGUCUCUGAUAGAAAGUGGACAAAUAGUUGGUCUAGAGAUUGAGAGAGAAUGCACAUACAUGUAAUCAACAUUUUAAAGCAAUUUUGAAAAUUAUGAAUUUAGAAAUAUAUAUAAUGUACAAGCUACAUGUACAUGUAGGUAUUGAAGUACAAUGAUCAGGUAUUAAAGACAAUUACUUUUUAUGUUGAAAAUCA